GGAUGAAGGGAGCUUGCUCCCUGAUUCAGCGGCGGACGGGUGAGUAAUGCCUAGGAAUCUGCCUGGUAGUGGGGGACAACGUUUCGAAAGGAACGCUAAUACCGCAUACGUCCUACGGGAGAAAGCAGGGGACCUUCGGGCCUUGCGCUAUCAGAUGAGCCUAGGUCGGAUUAGCUAGUUGGUGAGGUAAUGGCUCACCAAGGCUGCGAUCCGUAACUGGUCUGAGAGGAUGAUCAGUCACACUGGAACUGAGACACGGUCCAGACUCCUACGGGAGGCAGCAGUGGGGAAUAUUGGGCAAUGGGCGAAAGCCUGAUCCAGCCAUGCCGCGUGUGUGAAGAAGGUCUUCGGAUUGUAAAGCACUUUAAGUUGGGAGGAAGGGCAGUAAGUUAAUACCUUGCUGUUUUGACGUUACCGACAGAAUAAGCACCGGCUAACUUCGUGCCGCAGCCGCGGUAUACGAAGGGUGCAGGCGUUAAUCGGAAUUACUGGGCGUAAAGCGCGCGUAGGUGGUUUGUUAAGUUGGAAGUGAAAGCCCCGGGCUCAACCUGGGAACUGCUUUCAGAACUGGCAAGCUAGAGUAUGGCAGAAGGUGGUGGAAUUUCCUGUGUAGCGAUGAUAUGCGUAGAUCUAGGAAGGAACACCAGUGGCGAACGCUACCACCUGGGCUAAUACUGACACUGAGGUGCGAAUGCGUGCGGAGCAAACAGGAUUAGAUACCCUGGUAGUCCACGCCGUCAACGAUGUCGAGUAGCCGUUGGGAUCCUUGAGAUCUUAGUGGCGCAACUGACGCAUUAAGUCGACCGCCUGGCGAGUACGGCCGCAUGGCUAAGACUCACAUGACUUGACGGCGAU
rnacentral:rRNA from 1 species